CAGUCGCCGCGGUAAUACGUAGGUGGCGAGCGUUGUCCGGAAUUAUUGGGCGUAAAGGGAGCGCAGGCGGACAUAUAAGUCCAUCUUAAAAGUGCGGGGCUCAACCCCGUGAGGGGAUGGAAACUGUAUGCCUUGAGUGCAGGAGAGGAAAGCGGAAUUCCCAGUGUAGCGGUGAAAUGCGUAGAUACUGGGAGGAACACCAGUGGCGAAGGCGGCCUUCUGGACUGCAACUGACGCUGAGGCUCGAAAGCCAGGGGAGCGAACGGGAUUAGAUACCCCUGUAGUCCCUGUCUCUUAUACA
rnacentral:rRNA from 1 species